CGUUACGACAGCUGUACGCGGGAGGCCUUUGGGCCUACCGGGUUCGCACCAUGCCUGGUUUUCCACCCCGUGUGCAGCUGUCACCCCU
rnacentral:antisense_RNA from 1 species